GUGUAUAGUUAAAAAAAAAUUACUUAAAAUAUUAAAAAAUUUGAGUGAAAAAAAAAAACAAUAGAAAAAAAAAAAAUUCUGGAAACCAAAACCAAGUAGAGCGAAUUACAUUGUUUAUUUUACGCUUGCACAUUUCGGCUGACGCGCGUAGACUUGUACAUCCUUUCGCUGGUUUUGGGAAAGGUUGUUUUCAGAUCUGUGAAUCUACUUCCAUCUCUCUCUCUCUCUCUCUCUCUCCCCCUGUGGGACUGAAUUUGGUUGCAUCUCUCUGGUCUCUUGGAAUUUUGGGCAAAUUGAAAAUGGAGAACCCCGAGCAUCAAAGUUGAGUUCAAUCAACUCUCUCAGUCCGUUUUACAUAGCUAAUCUUGGAUUCUAAUUGUAAUUAUUAAUUUUAUUGGAGAAAAACAAUUUCCAUAACUCCAGAGAGUUGGAUUGAUGGUGGAUCAAAUUGUGGGUAGCAAAGGUGGAUUGCCAAAGGAAAUAGCAGAGCUGGUUGUGCUUUGGUGGAGAUGGACGUUGAGUGUGGUGGUGUAGUUGACAGAAUGAAGAGAAAAAAAAAGAAGAAAGAGAAAGGUGGUAGAUGAGAGAAGGAUGAAGAGUAAUUUUGGAUAAGUGAUGUGUGAGUCGUGCAAAAAAAGGCAAUGAAACAUUGCUACGAGUGCCAUAUAGUUUAACAUCCUUAUCAGACGAUGGAUGGAUUGUUUAAAUUGUACUCAUUUUAAAAAUUUAGAGUUUAUGCUGUAAUAAUUAAGUAGGCAGGGUUUAAAUCAUUACAAUGAUCAAACUUUUUUUUUUUUUUUUUUUGCAAUUUACCAUUUUUGGAUAAAUAUUUAAAACAUUUUCUCAUCUACGUAUGGCCUUCCUUCUAUUUAUCCUCUUUUUUUUUCAAUCAUUUUUUUUCGUCUCUCUAACUAUCGAUGCCUUGAAUGGCACUAAAUACCACUAUUAUUUGUUCCUCCUCUGCCACACAUUACCCCCUCCACCACAUUUCCACCUCCAUUUCACCAUAGCAAUGACAUACUACCAUAUAUGACCACUGCAGUGCCAUACCAAGCAUGUCACCACCGGUCCACCGUCUCAUGGCUACCGGCUACCACACCACUCUAGUGCACUAGUUACUUCUGGGGGAUGAUGCGUAUGCAAAAGUACUAUGCCCAGGACAGGGAGCUGGCAGCUGAUUCUUAUGAUGAAUUCCACAAAUUUUUUUGGGUUUUCAUUACAUUGUUGGGUAGCAUCCUCUAAACAACGUAUCAACCAUUUGAAACACAUUAUCCAAAGGCUGUAGCAUUCGUUGUCACUAUUGUGAUCUAUUUUUCAUCAUUGUUGGCUGAAUUUGUACUCUGAACCAACGGCAGAGAUCAUGUGAUAGUGAACAAAUUAAGUUUGUUCUCGGGUGUACUUGCUGUUAUUUUGCCAAUUUGAUCAUUGUCCCAGGCAUUGGGUAGCUGGCGUUGGGCAUAUGGGUUUGUGCUUUUUGAAUUGUUGUAAAUCGCUUCUUUGAUGAGAUUAGAGAUGACCCAUAUGCUCAAAGCGAACUACCCAAUGGCUGGGACAAUGAUCAAUAUUGGUAAAAUAACAGCAAGUACACCCGAGAACAAACUUAAUUUGUUCAUUUUGUCCAAAUUGUUGCAGAAUUUAGAAGUGUAAUGAAUAAAUUGAGGAAUGACAAUGCAAAUGAAAGUCGGGAUGAGCCUCUUCGAUUGCCUGUGUAAGUCAGCAUCAACAUAUUUGCGGAAUUUAGAAGCGUAAUGGAUAAAUUGCGGCAUGGCAAUGCUGGAUGAAAGUCAGCAUGAGCAUCACUGGUUGCCUGUGUAAUUUUUGUUCAUGUUGAACCAAGAUUGGGUGUUUGGGGUUAAAUAUUUUAUAGAAUGUUAUUAAGGUCCACUGUGUUCGUAAGAAAUAGCUCCGUGGGUUACUUUGUCAUGUAUGUUGUACUUUUUUAGAGAUAGUGAUAUCAAGUUCCACAGUGUUUGUAAGAAAUAACUCCCCGGGGUAGUUUGUUAUGUAUGUCGUACUCUACUUGUUUUUCUGUUGAAGCAAGGUUCGGUGUUUGGACUUCAAUUUCUUAGCGAUACUGUUAUUAAGUUCCACUGCGUUUAUAAGAAAUAGCUCCCCGGGAUACUUUGUUAUGUAUGUUGUACUCCUUUUUCUGCUGAACAAAGGUUGGGUGUUUAAGGUUCAAUUCUAUGGAGAUACCUAUUAUUUAAGUUCCACUGUGUUUGUAAGAAAUAGCUCAUCCCACCCCUGGGGUAGUUUGUUAUGUAUGUUGUAUUCUACUUAUUUUUCUGAUAUUUAACGAGGUACCAAGAUACUGCUAGAGGUAGAGGGAUGCCAC